CGUCAGACGAAUAAUUGAAUUACAGUGUAAGGCUAUAUCACUAUAUAUAAAAUAACUUUCCUGAAAGCAGUAAUAAAAGAAUUUUAAAUACGAAUUUAUCAGAAUUGAGAUUUCGUUUGUCUUUUAUAAGAUUUUUAUCUAUCUUCAUGUUGAGUAAACAGAAUCCUAAGAGACUUUCGAUAAUGCUGAUAUUAUCAAUCGAUUUUGAUAAUCGAGAAGUGCAUCUCGAGGAGUGAUCAUUGAUUUGAUGAUGAUUAAGAAAAUAUUUUUAAUUAGAUGCGACUUGAAUGACAUUAAUCUUUUAAUACUUCAUCUUUAAAACUCUUCAAUCUCUAUCUAUUCAUCCAAUUUGUGACGAUAUCAAUUAAUUAUCUAUAUGCGUCGACAGCUUUAAUAUUCUUAUCGAAAAUGUGACGUCGCAAAACACUUUUAAUUAAAUAAAAUCGCUUUGUUUAUCCAAAGCUUGUUUUCUCAAGUUGUUUUUAUUCUUUUUUAAAUUUAAUUUAAAACAAUAGUUGGAAGAAACAAACAAAUCUGAUAAUGAGAAUAAUACAUUAUUUUGCAGCCAUCUUUAAUGUUUAAAUGUGUGCAAUAGAUAUGCGUGUUGUGCUCGAUAUGUCUCACAUCUAUAAGAAAAUACGAAACAAAUCUUAUCUCGGUUUAUCUCGGCGGCAUAUUAUAUAGAAAUGAUGUCAAGUAACUCGUGACCAGCACGAAGUAUUAUCACAAUUAUAUCAUCACCAAAACAUUGACUGAAAGUUAUAAACAGUCCAGUACAAGGGUUAACGGUAUCUCGAUUGCUUCGGUAUCGACGUCGGCGAAUUGUUACUACGACGGAGCGAUCAAUUGUCUGAUAAUAUUCAGGAUAGCUUAUCUGAUUCAUCCAAUUUUUCCACUCAAUAUUAUUAAACUAUCGCAACAUACAAGGUAAUUAAUUUAUUUUCGUUUCAAUGUCUAGAUUUUCGUUAUGUCAAAAUAUCGCAUUUCCAUUUCAUUAAUCGUUCUUUAUUUCUACGUAUUUACCAAGAACAAAUCAAUGAAUGUCAAAAUAAAUCAGUGAACAAAUCAAUCCAGUGAGUUGUAAUCGAAUCCCGCAACAAGAAUAAAACGGAGAAAAAAAGGAGAAAGAACAAAACUUAAAAAUGAAUAAAGAUCGUCAUUGACUGAUUUUUCUGCCAAGACGCGAUAAAAACUAGAAUGAUAGGCAAUGCGCUGUAAUGACGUGUAAUCAGGAAUGCAAUUACAAUCAAGACAAAACGUGAUGUGAAAUUGCAUUCAUUAACCUGGUCGGAGACGCACAGAAUACUUUGAUAGAUAUGAGUGCAUUCAGAAAUUGUAAAGUCGCAGACACGUCAAGGAACGAUAAAUUUCAACAAGACGACGCAAUCAGAGAAUCGCAUCAGCUGACAUUAAUUGACCGCCUGAUGCAUUCCAAAUGGUUUUCCCCGAGCAAUUCGCGCGACCGUUGUAAAAGCGAUAUCUCUGACGUAACGAAAGAAGCAUUGCGUGAAGAGAACGCGGUACCGCUUUGACUACGUCAGAGAUACCGCCUUAAUCAUCCAAUUCUGUGAUGAUACGCUACUGCUCGGUGAAUCGUAGCUUCAUUGAUUGCGACGCUCGUAAGCCGGGUCGACGGUCGUCAGGGGGAGAAGGGAAAAGAGAUUUCAAGUGGAACGUGCAUUUUCAGGGUUGGAAUAAGGGGUCGAAGUGCCCCAGGGGCACUCACGUUCCGAUAGUCUUUCCCACGUAAAGUCCGUUUGCGUUAGGAGCUGUUGCAGCAACAGAUGAUAAUGCACUUCCGAUUAAAAUCACUUCAGUGUUUGGGCUACAAACCUCUGCGAAUGUUUUUGAGAUUCUAGAGCAUGUAUAACAAAGUUUUAUGUUAACAAUUUGAAGUUUGAUUAAUUAUUUGUCGCUACAAAAUUGCGUUGCAAGUAAAUGGUUUAUUG
rnacentral:lncRNA from 1 species